rnacentral:rRNA from 1 species
AUUGAACGCUGGCGGCAGGCCUAACACAUGCAAGUCGAGCGGAGCGGCGGACGGGUGCGUCAUGCAUAUGAAUAGGACUGGUAGUGGGGGAUACCGAUCGGAAACGGGUGCUAAUACCGCAUCCUAUCAGCGGAGCCUAGGUCGGAUUAGCUAGUUUGUGGGGUAAAGGCCUACCAAGGCGACGAUCCGUAACUGGUCUGAGAUGAUGAGCAGUCACACUGGAACUGAGACACGGUCCAGACUCCUACGGGAGGCAGCAGUGGGGAAUAUUGGACAAUGGGCGAAAGCCUGAUCCAGCCAUGCCGCGUGUGUGAAGAAGGUCUUCGGGUUGUAAAGCACUUUAAGUGGGGAGGCUUUACCAACAGAAGAAGCACCGGCUAACUUCGUGCCAGCAGCCGCGGUAAUAC